rnacentral:rRNA from 1 species
UACGGAGGAGGCAAGCGUUAUCCGGAAUUAUUGGGCGUAAAGCGUCCGCAGGUGGCACUUCAAGUCUGUCGUCAAAGACUGGGGCUUAACCCUGGAAAGGCGGUGGAAACUGAAGCGCUAGAGUGCGGUAGGGGUAGAGGGAAUUCCCGGUGUAGCGGUGAAAUGCGUAGAGAUCGGCAGGAACACCCAGGGAGAAAUCAGCCGCCUGGGCAAGUGCUGACGCUGAGGUGCGAAAGCGUGGGGAGCAAACAGG